UACGUAGGGUGCAAGCGUUGUCCGGAAUUAUUGGGCGUAAAGAGCGUGUAGGCGGCCAGGUAGGUCCGUUGUGAAAACUCGAGGCUCAACCUCGAGACGCCGAUGGAAACCAUCUGGCUAGAGUCCGGAAGAGGAGAGUGGAAUUCCCGGUGUAGCGGUGAAAUGCGCAGAUAUCGGGAAGAACACCCGUGGCUAAGGCGGCUCUCUAGUACGGUACUGACGCUGAGACGCGAAAGCGUGGGGAGCGGACAGG
rnacentral:rRNA from 1 species